CAGCGGAGCGUGUGGUUUAAUUCGAGGCUACGCGAAGAACCUUACCAGGGAUUGACAUGACGGUAGUAGUGAAGCGAAACGAACCGGCCGACAGGUGUGACGAGCGCAACCCCUAGCGCCAGUUAGGGAUGCCAAGUAGCAUGUCCUUUAUACCCUGGCGACAUACAUGGCCAGCACAUGGGUCGCCAAGCCGUGAGGCGGAGCCUCCUCAAAAGCUGGUCUCAGUUCGGAUUGCAGUGCAACCCGCCUGCAUGAAGUCGGAGUUGCUAGUAACCGAGGACAGCUAUACUGCGGUGAAUACGUUCCCGGGUCUUGUACACACCGCCGUCACGUCAUGGGAGCUGGCAACACCUGAAGCCGGUAGGCCAACCGCAAGGCGGCCGCCGUCGAAGUGGGGUCGGUGACUGGGACGAAGUCGUACAAGGU
rnacentral:rRNA from 1 species